UCAAACUUUUGUGAUACCCAGCAUCUCCACCAGUUGUCACGGUAGUAAUGACGAGUAUUACAAACGUUCGAGU